UACGGAGGGUGCAAGCGUUAUCCGGAUUCACUGGGCUUAAAGGGUGCGUAGGCGGUCCGGUAAGUCCGCUGUGAAAGUCGGGGGCUCAACCCUCGAAUGCCAGUGGAUACUGUCGGGCUAGAGUGCGGAAGAGGCGAGUGGAAUUCCUGGUGUAGCGGCGAAAUGCGCAGAUAUCAGGAGGAACACCAAUUGCGAAGGCAGCUCGCUGGGACGUUACUGACGCUGAGACGCGAAAGCGUGGGGAGCAAACAGG
rnacentral:rRNA from 1 species